GGUUGGUGUAAAAGCUGUAAAUGUGUGUUAAAAUUUUGAGAUCAAUUGAACAAUUAGAUCAAAGUAUUUAGAGAUUUUUGUGGAUUGAGGUCUCAAAAAUUGAAGUUUAAAGGUUAGUGGAUAUUUUUAAGAACUUUAAUAAUUUGUCAAUUGGAUUGAAGUGAAUUUUUUUGUAUAGAAAUUAGACUUGAUUUUUAUUAAUU
rnacentral:lncRNA from 1 species